rnacentral:rRNA from 1 species
UAUGGGAGGGAUCAAGAGGGUGCUAGACUCGGCCUGAAGUAUUUAUUGAAUGUUGUCACACUGCCCAUAGAGGGUGUAAGGCCCGUAAGGCCGGCGUCUAGAUUACCUCGCUGGUUCCUCUCGAGAGUCGGGUUGCUUGAAAGUGCAGCCCUAAGUAGGUGGUAAACUCCAUCUAAGGCUAAAUAUUCCCACGAGACCGAUAGCGAACAAGUACCGCGAGGGAAAGUUGAAAAGAACUUUGAAAAGAGAGUUCAAUAGAGCGUGAAACUACCACGAGGCUAAAGCGAGUGAGCGUACGUAUCCGAACGGUUUGAUUCAGUCCGCCCGAGCACGAUGAGCAGUGGGGGGUCGUAAUACGUCAUUAACGGAUCUCCCGAAAGGAUCCGAGCUUUACGCUCGGCCUCUAGGGUGACCGGCGUAUCUCCCGCUUUGUUCUGUAGGGGGACGCAUUUCCGGCCGAAGUAGGGCGUCGCGGCCGUUUCGGGGGUGUCUAAGACACGGGGGUCCUGGAAUCCGCAUCUUCUCGUCCCGGCGCGCUCUACCGCCCCUUCACGGAGGAGCGGCAUCACGCCGGGGUCGCGAGUCGAGCGGGGCCGCCUCGUUGAUCUGACGGCCUC